rnacentral:rRNA from 1 species
GACGAACGCUGGCGGCGUGCUUAACACAUGCAAGUCGAACGCUGAAGCUCAGCUUGCUGGGUGGAUGAGUGGCGAACGGGUGAGUAACACGUGAGUAACCUGCCCUCUUCUUUGGGAUAACGCCCGGAAACGGGUGCUAAUACUGGAUAUUCACUGAUUCUCGCAUGGGGGUUGGUGGAAAGGUUUUUUCUGGUGGGGGAUGGGCUCGCGGCCUAUCAGCUUGUUGGUGGGGGGAUGGCCUACCAAGGCUUUGACGGGUUGCCGGCCUGAGAGGGUGACCGGGUAACAUGGGGACUGGGUUCGGGCCCAGAUUCUUCCGGGGGGCGGCAUGGGGGAAAAUGCCCAAAUGGCGAAAGCCUGAUGCAGCGACGCCGCGUGAGGGAUGGAGGCCUUCGGGUUGUAAACCUCUUUCGCUCAUGGUCAAGCCGCAGCUUUGGGUUGUGGUGAGGGUAGUGGGUAAAGAAGCGCCGGCUAACUACGUG